GUGGGGAAUUUUGGACAAUGGGCGCAAGCCUGAUCCAGCAAUGCCGCGUGCAGGAAGAAGGCCUUCGGGUUGUAAACUGCUUUUGUACGGAACGAAACGGUCCUGGCUAAUACCUGGGGCUAAUGACGGUACCGUAAGAAUAAGCACCGGCUAACUACGUGCCAGCAGCCGCGGUAAUACGUAGGGUGCGAGCGUUAAUCGGAAUUACUGGGCGUAAAGCGUGCGCAGGCGGUGCUGUAAGACAGGCGUGAAAUCCCCGGGCUCAACCUGGGGAUUGGUCUUGUGACUGCAGUGCUGGAGUGCGGCAGAGGGGGAUGGAAUUCCGCGUGUAGCAGUGAAAUGCGUAGAUAUGCGGAGGAACACCGAUGGCGAAGGCAAUCCCCUGGGCCUGCACUGACGCUCAUGCACGAAAGCGUGGGGAGCAAACAGGAUUAGAUACCCUGGUAGUCC
rnacentral:rRNA from 1 species